UGUUAACUGCAAAAAUAACGGUAAAACUAGUGAUUGUAUAUUUUACAAGUUUCCAACUGCAUCACAUAAGAUAGGUCAAAGGCAAAAAUGGAUUGCUGCUGUGAAAAGAAAAAAGUAAUCCUGAUUGUUCAAAGUGGACUCCAAAAACUCAUCACGUAAUAUGUAAUACUCAUUGGCAAGAAAAAAUUAGAUGAUGCUGCGAGUCCAAGCUACGCGCCAACUCUAUUCCCUCCUGUUUAUCAUGCAAAGCAAGUAAAUGAAAGAGCUGUUUUAAGCAGGUACAAUCGACUCAUUAACCGAAGAAAGACUAUUCACAAGCAUAACAUCGGAGUGAAUUGUGAUACUGGAAAUCAAGUUAAUG